GUUUCCGGUUCCGGUGUCGGCUGACGUGAAAACCUCAAUUUAGUUUGCGCCGGCUGCCGCUGGGUUAGGGUUGGAUUGACGCUUGAUGAACCUUUGACCUGUGACACAGGCGUCGGCCAUGACAGUGGGCGGUGAGGUCACGUGAUCAUUUACCCGCCAGCAGCGGCGCCUGCGUCUGCAUCUGCAGCCGGAUCUUCACCAGGUCCACGGGGGCGCCCACACCCACCGACACCAGUCCGGUCAGCAUGCUGGCCCCGGUCAGGUCCAGCUUGCUGCAGGCGUGGCGCCCGUCGCCAUAGCGAUACUUGCUGAUGGACCUCUGCGCGUUACUGAAGAAGCCAAAGACGAGGGAGUUGUAGGCGGCGAUGGUGGCCACGGGGAAGGACAUGCCUUUGAAGAAGCCCGCCACCUGGACCACACGUGCGGACACGCUUGUUACUGGACACGCUUCUGCCUUGGAGACUUUGCAUGUAUGCUGAGCAUGCAGUGGGUCAUGUUCUGGUAACCUUUGCCCGCCUGAAGUCGUGUCUGCAUGAAGACCACCACAACACAACCUCACAGUUCUGAUAGUUCAUGUACUCUCGGAUGGUUUUAUUGAUACUUUCAUCUAUUCACCUUCACCGUGUCCAAAGGAUGUCCCACCACCACACUGGACGCCCCUGCACACACACGUGACCAUGGAAGGAAAGUCAUAUUCAUAUUCAUAUCACAUGACCACGUGAGGAAACUACUAACAAUAAUAUUCACGUGACAUUGCAUGACCAUAUAAGGAAACUAAUAAUGAUAUACAGAUGACAUCACGUGACCAUAUAGGGAAACUAACUAUAAUAUACCUAUGACAUCACAUCAAUAUAAAGAAACAAAUAAUAAUAUUCAUAUGACAUCACAUGACCAUAUAAGGAAACUAAUAAUGAUAUUCACGUCAACACACGACCAUAUAAGAAAAAUAAUACAAUUAUUCACAUGACAUUACAUGACCAUAUAAGGAAACUAAUAAUGAUCUACACAUGACAUCACAUGACUUUAUAAGGAAAAUAAUAAUAAUAGUACUCAUAUCAAAUCACACGACCAUAUAGGGCAAGUAGUAUUAUAUGAGGUCACAUAACCAUAUAAGGACACUAAUAAUAAUAUGCAUAUGACAUCAAGUCAACAUAUAAGGAAACAAAUAAUACUAUUCAUAUGACAUCACAAUCAUAAACAAAACUAAUAAUGAUAUUCAUAUCACAUGACCAUAUAAGAAAACUAUUAAUAAUAAUACUCAUACCUAGUCACAUGACCAUAUAGAGAAAGUAGUAUUAAUAAUACUUAUAUGAUGUCGCAUAAUUAACAAUUAUGAAGCACUUCUGAACAGAAUUUGUGUGUGUGUGUGUGUGUGUGCGUGUGCGUGUGCGUGUGCGUGUGCGUGUGCGUGUGCGUGUGUGGGGGCGGGGAGGUGCCGUGGUCACAAAUAAAUUAACAAACAAAAAUCAACAAAUAACUUUUGAGAACGUUGGGGGUCCUCAGUGCACAUACACUCUCACCACAAACACACACACACGCACACACUUGUAUAUACAAACACACACACACACACGCACUUGUAUGUACAAACGCACACAUGCACUUGUAUACACAAACACACACACACACGCACACACAUGUACUUGUAUAUACAAACACACACACAUGCACUUGUAUGUACAAACACACGCACACAUGCACUUGUAUACACAAACACACACACACACACGCACACUCAUGUACUUGUAUAUACAAACACACACACAUGCACUUGUAUGUACAAACACACGCACACAUGCACUUGUAUACACAAACACACACACACGCACACAUGCACUUGUAUAUACAAACACGCACACACAUGCACUUGUAUAUACAAACACACACACACGCACACACAUGCACUUGUAUAUACAAACACACACACACACGCACACACAUGCACUUGUAUAUACAAACACACACACACACGCACACACAUGCACUUGUAUAUACAAACACACACACACACAUGCGCUUGUAUAUACAAACACACGCAUACACACACCUGCAUGCACAGCCAUACAAAAAAUGCAUGCACUCAAACCCAAACAUGCACACGCACACUCACUCCCAUGCGCAGACACACACACACACACACACCUGCACACACAUUGGGAGUGUAGUUGUGCACACUCACCUCCAAUCCAUCCAGCCAUGAAGUCGUUGAAGUGAAAGUUGUUGACAGCCAUCUUUAUCUGUGUGUGUUGACAAACACUCACACAGACACGCACAGUCUUUACUUUGUUGAUCUCAAAUGAAAGUGUGCGACUUCCAGGCUGUCCACAAAUCUUUGAUUGCUGUCUUGUCAGACCAGCAGCCAAUCACAUGCUGAGGCCAGCUUCUGUGGACCAAUCACAGCGCACAUGCAAAUAAGCUAAAACAACAAAAUACACAAUCUGAUGAUCGAUUAUAAACUCUUGGUGUAAUCAUUUAUUAUUUUGUACAAAUAUUACACUUUUAUGUUCUUAUUUAAUCUUAAAUAUGGAUAUUUAUGUUCUUGUUUAACCUUAAGUAUUACACUUUUCAAAAUGUCCUGUCCAACAAAUCAUGCUGUUGAUGAUGAUGAUCAACAAUAGAGGUGGAGAACACGGAGGGGCCAGCCCUGGGCCGCCCCUCUCAAGUUGGCCAUAGCAGGACCGCCCAACAUGCGGGCCCCCUGCAGGGACCCGGACGAUGGAGAUGGAACACUCAGCAACUGCCCCACUGGAGCCUACACCUCAGGAAGGGAAAACAAAAAACAACAAACAUACCGACACACAAGGCCACCGCCCAGGCAGCUGGCCACUGCACCUGCAGCAUGCCACCGUCCCUGCAGCUGGCCACCCCACCUGCAGCUGGCCACCCCACCUGCAGCUGGCCACCCCACCUGCAGCUGGCCAUCGCCCCUGUAGCUGGCCACUGCGCCUGCAG